rnacentral:rRNA from 1 species
GGGUCAGUAGGUUGGUCGUGCCACCGGUACGUACUGGUCUUACUGAUUCCUCCUUCCUGAAGAACCGUAAUGCCAUUAAUUUGGUGUUGCGGGGAAACAGGACUGUUACUUUGAAAAAAUUAGAGUGUUUAAAGCAAGCUAACGCUUGAAUAUAUUAGCAUGGAAUAAUGAAAUAGGACGAUCGAUCCUAUUUUGUUGGUUUCUAGGAUUGACGUA